GACAGAGGGUGCGAACGUUGUUCGGAAUUACUGGGCGUAAAGCGCAUGUAGGCGGCCGCGCAGGUCGGAUGUGAAAUCCCUCGGCUCACCCGAGGACGUGCAUUCGAAACCGCGCGGCUCGAGUCCUGGAGAGGGUCGUGGAAUUCUCGGCGUAGAGGUGAAAUUCGUAGAUAUCGGGAGGAACACCGGCGGCGAAAGCGGCGACCUGGACAGAGACUGACGCUGAGAUGCGAAAGCGUGGGGAGCAAACAGG
rnacentral:rRNA from 1 species